UAGGGAAUUUCGUCAAUGGGGCAACCCUGAACGAGCAAUGCCGCGUGAGCGAAGAAGGUCUUCGGAUUGUAAAGCUCUGUUGCCGGGGAAAAGGAGGAAGAGGAAAUGC
rnacentral:rRNA from 1 species